GAUGAACGCUGGCGGCGUGCUUAACACAUGCAAGUCGAACGAAGCAUUUGCGACAGAUUUUUUCGGAAUGAAGUUGCUUAUGACUGAGUGGCGGACGGGUGAGUAACGCGUGGGUAACCUGCCUUGUACUGGGGGAUAGCAGCUGGAAACGGCUGGUAAUACCGCAUAAGCGCACAAUGUUGCAUGACAUGGUGUGAAAAACUCCGGUGGUAUAAGGUGGACCCGCGUCUGAUUAGCUAGUUGGUGAGAUAACAGCCCACCAAGGCGACGAUCAGUAGCCGACCUGAGAGGGUGACCGGCCACAUUGGGACUGAGACACGGCCCAGACUCCUACGGGAGGCAGCAGUGGGGAAUAUUGCACAAUGGAGGAAACUCUGAUGCAGCGACGCCGCGUGAGUGAAGAAGUAAUUCGUUAUGUAAAGCUCUAUCAGCAGGGAAGAUAGUGACGGUACCUGACUAAGAAGCUCCGGCUAAAUACGUG
rnacentral:rRNA from 1 species